UGGAAGUAAAAGUCGUAACAAGGUCUCCGUUGGUGAACCAGCGGAGGGAUCAUUACCGAGUUUACAACUCCCAAACCCAAUGUGAACGUUACCAAACUGUUGCCUCGGCGGGAUCUCUGCCCCGGGUGCGUCGCAGCCCCGGACCAAGGCGCCCGCCGGAGGACCAACCUAAAACUCUUAUUGUAUACCCCCUCGCGGGUUUUUUUAUAAUCUGAGCCUUCUCGGCGCCUCUCGUAGGCGUUUCGAAAAUGAAUCAAAACUUUCAACAACGGAUCUCUUGGUUCUGGCAUCGAUGAAGAACGCAGCGAAAUGCGAUAAGUAAUGUGAAUUGCAGAAUUCAGUGAAUCAUCGAAUCUUUGAACGCACAUUGCGCCCGCCAGUAUUCUGGCGGGCAUGCCUGUCCGAGCGUCAUUUCAACCCUCGAACCCCUCCGGGGGGUCGGCGUUGGGGAUCGGCCCUCCCUUAGCGGGUGGCCGUCUCCGAAAUACAGUGGCGGUCUCGCCGCAGCCUCUCCUGCGCAGUAGUUUGCACACUCGCAUCGGGAGCGCGGCGCGUCCACAGCCGUUAAACACCCAACUUCUGAAAUGUUGACCUCGGAUCAGGUAGGAAUACCCGCUGAACUUAAGCAUAUCAAUAAAGCGGAGGA
rnacentral:rRNA from 1 species